CUCUUAUCCAGAGUUCGGUGGAGGGACUGGCCCUAUGAAACCGCGGCAACCGACUUGCUACAAGCACGGUGCAAAUUCCUGCAAAGUUUAUUCUUUGCAAAGAUGAGAG
rnacentral:ncRNA from 2 species